rnacentral:rRNA from 1 species
ACUGAGUGGCGGACGGGUGAGUAACGCGUGGGUAACCUGCCUCAUACAGGGGGAUAACAGUUAGAAAUGACUGCUAAUACCGCAUAAGCGCACAGUGCUGCAUGGCACAGUGUGAAAAACUCCGGUGGUAUGAGAUGGACCCGCGUCUGAUUAGCUAGUUGGUGGGGUAACGGCCUACCAAGGCGACGAUCAGUAGCCGGCCUGAGAGGGUGAACGGCCACAUUGGGACUGAGACACGGCCCAAACUCCUACGGGAGGCAGCAGUGGGGAAUAUUGCACAAUGGGGGAAACCCUGAUGCAGCGACGCCGCGUGAGCGAAGAAGUAUUUCGGUAUGUAAAGCUCUAUCAGCAGGGAAGAAAAUGACGGUACCUGACUAAGAAGCACCGGCUAAAUACGUGCCAGCAGCCGCGGUAAUACGUAUGGUGCAAGCGUUAUCCGGAUUUACUGGGUGUAAAGGGAGCGUAGACGGUUGUGUAAGUCUGAUGUGAAAGCCCGGGGCUCAACCCCGGGACUGCAUUGGAAACUAUGUAACUAGAGUGUCGGAGAGGUAAGCGGAAUUCCUAGUGUAGCGGUGAAAUGCGUAGAUAUUAGGAGGAACACCAGUGGCGAAGG